rnacentral:misc_RNA from 1 species
UGGGCCUGGGAAUGUUGGA